UAAACGACUCUCGGCAACGGAUAUCUCGGCUCACGCAUCGAUGAAGAACGUAGCAAAAUGCGAUACUUGGUGUGAAUUGCAGAAUCCCGUGAACCAUCGAGUUUUUGAACGCAAGUUGCGCCCGAAGCCUCGGCUGAGGGCACGUCUGCCUGGGCGUCACG
rnacentral:rRNA from 1 species